CAGCCGCCGCGGGAAUACGAAGGGGGCUAGCGUUGUUCGGAAUCACUGGGCGUAAAGCGCACGUAGGCGGAUUUUUAAGUCAGGGGUGAAAUCCCGAGGCUCAACCUCGGAACUGCCUUUGAUACUGGAGAUCUUGAGUUCGGAAGAGGUUGGUGGAACAGCUAGUGUAGAGGUGAAAUUCGUAGAUAUUAGCUAGAACACCAGUGGCGAAGGCGGCCAACUGGUCCGACACUGACGCUGAGGUGCGAAAGCGUGGGGAGCAGACAGGAUUAGAUACCCGCGUAGUCCCUGUCUCUUAUAC
rnacentral:rRNA from 1 species